AAGGGACGAAAUUGCCCCUACACAACCAUACACAGGGUCUCUCACUCUUGCAUUAGCUUCAUACACCAUGCUACUCACUGCAUCCCCUCUUUGAUGCUCAGGUAAGUCCUGUAAAUUAAUAAAUAAGGACAAGUGAUUACGUCAAUAUUAGAUUUUGAUAGAGACUAAAGGUGUCUAAAUAACCUACAAUCACUAUAGUUGGAUGAUUCAUAUUAAUCAACUUUUAAAUCAAAUGAUGUCAAUUUGUAUUCUUAUUCCCUGAAAAGUCCGAGACCGACACAUAAUUACAUUGAUAUAUGCAAUUUUCUUAAAUUAUUAUCAGUAUCAACGUGUCAGUGCCUGUAUUCAUGCUUCGUAAGCAAAUACUACAUUUACUACACAUCUACACCAUUUGGGGCCUUGCAAGUGGUGGAUUUUUUCGAAAAUGGAAGUGGAGAUCAUACUCCUGUCCUGCAGGGUCACGUCCCCAAACAGUUUACUAAACUACCCGUACAUAUGUCCCCAAGGUGGAGAAUGGAGACAGGUGGGGUGGGGAGUAUUUUGUAUGGUUGAUGAUUUUGCGUAUAUCUUGGGUGUCUCUAAUUUAAAUCCCACAUAAUAUGUGACAUAUAUUUGUGACAUAGACUUUGACAAUGAAAUAAGGAAACAUAUUAAAUGCUUGCAUAAAAAAUUGACAAUAUCAGACAACUUCACGUGGUGUAAAUAGAAGGAUAAUAUUAUUUGAGUAAUUAAUUUUUUUUUGAUUUCCUAAUGGCGCCAAAUAGAAAGUAAAAUGAAGAUCUUGCGGUUUUGGUUUCUCAAAAUCUCGUUGCUUGUUUGUUAAGUUAAAACUUUGUGCUUGACCCUGACUUUUGGGGGGCAACACCACGUUUAGAAGCUCCUAUUGGUUAUCCCAAUAAGAAAAUGAAUUAAAGAAAUAAUGUAAUGGUAUUCCUAAUGCAUACUUUUUGAUUUGUCUUAUUCAUUAUUCAUAUUCACAUGGCAGACCAAAAGAUGAGACAGACCUAAUAUUGGAAUAUGAAGAAAUGAAAAAGCAGACAAAGAGAUACGAUUUGAGGUUUGAACGCGGCUGAAUGAAUGAAUGCAUGCCUCAUCUUUUCUACCUUUUCUAAUUUUUCAAGGGUUACUACUUACUUGGAAAAAACCAUUCUGGUUGGUUGGUUGGUUUGGUGUGGACAUGGCUUUUGGUUACCUCUAAAAGGAUUGUAAUGUGAAUGUGUUAUGUGUAUGAUGCAUAAAUAAAUUAAAUUUCAUUUGAAUUACUUUAGUAUUUUGAGAAAAAAAGUAUCUUCAGGUAGCCUGUCUUUUUCUCAAAUGGAAAAAUUGUACUAACAAAGUGCAAAAUUAAAAAUCAAUCACGUUAAACUUUUUUUUUCUUUUCUAAAAAGAAGUUAGAAGAAUAUGUGCCUCAAAAAAUACUAGAAGAAUAAGGAUGUGUGGGGAUUCAAAUUCAAUCAUGGUCAAGGAAAGCACCAAUAGUCAAUUAAAAGAAAGGAAUUGGACAGAAAAAAAUAUAAACAUACUUAUCAUUGUUAUCAACA
rnacentral:lncRNA from 1 species